AGCAGGCAAUGAUGCAAGAGUCGCAGCAGUAAGUUGGCCAUGUACGCUUCAACAUCAAAUAAGACGUGAAGACCCACUGUUUGUGCUACAAGGACACUCAAAACUAAAGCACCACAGGCUGCACAUUUUCUGUGAUAAUGACAUGGUGUCCUCCUUCAAUUACAGCAAAAAAAUCUAAAAUCUGGGCAGAGUGCAGGCUGUCUUCUCCACUAAAGCUUCACAAUUUGUUUUAUGGUCCCCUGCUGUUGAAAAAACAUAAUUCCAAUAAAUUACAUUCUGAUUCACUGGACUUUAGAGUAAGUUAAGACAUCUGUUUUGAGACUGUAACAUAAAAAGAAAAUGUGUAAAACCAACUUGUAAAAGAAAAAACACAACUGCAUAUUUGGUGCAUCCUCAAAAAUAGUUUAAUGAUCACAGUUUAAUGAUCACAGCAAAUGUGUGGCAGCCAGCUGUGGUGAGAGAGAGGAUGAGAGGAGACCGGUUCAGACUAGACCACCGGCAAAAUCUUGUAAACAAGCUCCGCUUCCCCGCCACAGGCCGAUAAAGCAGGCAACUGUACACAUUAACAUUUAAAAAAAACACACUCAGUCAAUUGAAACUUGCAUACGCACACACACAGAAGAAAAUACGCAUUUAAGAGUGACCUUUCAAAUGAUCAGACUCAGGGAGGGUACCAUUGACAGGCAGGAGUAGUUAAGUGUUGUCAAAAAGCUUGAUCGCAUCCAGCAAUACACGAGAUUUGUUGACAAGGAGCAAUCAAUGAUUGCUGGACCAAGGUAUGCUCACCUCGCCCAAAUACCCAGCUCAGACAGACCCUGGAUGAGCCACUGAUCAAACAGCCGCGAAGAUAGACACACACACAGACAGACACCGCUUCGUACUGUAGAUGCAUGCAUGCUGAAAUGCCUUGACACAAAAAUAAACCGUCCUGGAGCAGUGCUUUCCCUGUGUUCUGAGGUAGGCCACAGUAAGUAGGUCUGCGAUGACCUGAUUAUCAUUCUGUCCUAUAAGAAGGUGGAACUUGUGCUUGUGGAAGCAGGAAAUGACAACGUUUUAGGGCUUUGUUGCUCUGUUUGGGUUGGCAUAAGAGGACUAAAGCCCCAUUCAGAUGAGAUUUAUUUCUCUAGGGGCAGAUGGGGUGAUUUUAAUAUUACAUGCGCUGGUCAUUGAUUUUAAUCCUGUCCAGACAGCAUAUGUCUGAUUUUUCAUUCCACACUGCAGUAAUGAUUACAGCCAGUCAUUGCCUACUGUUAUUCACUGAACCCGCUGGUCCCUUAAUUUAAGUCCAGUGUCGAAAGAAGCUUUGCAUUUUAAAAAUGUCUCCUUGAGUUUUUUGGUGUUUACUGAUGCUGAGUUUUGUCAGCUCAGCAAACACUGUUAAUACUGAAGAGGUAGAAAAGAAUUUCACUAAACUGAUAGAUCAUUUGUUAGAGUCAGUCAAAUCAAAUAGUGAGGGGAAAAGGAAAACCAGACUACGUGACCAGGGACCCAACAUCCAAUUAAAUGGGCUGCUGUAAUGUCACAUUAAAGGUGAUUCUGUCUUUGCUGGUAUAAAUUGGAACAGCCAAACUGAUUUUAUGUGUAGUGAGCUAGCUGAAUUUAUUUAAUACUGUUGUAGUCCCUUGCUUACUGUAAAAGCAGAGUGUAAGCAACAUUCAGGAGACAUGUAAGUACUUUAAAACUGUCUGUAUUCAUAAUCAAUUACACGGUGGUGAGUCACAUAGUCCUGCCAUAACAUAUUGUUGUCUACUCACGUUGUUUGCCAGUGGCUAAAAUGUCAUUUGGAAUAACAACCAUUAUCAUGAGAGAGGAUGGAAAAUGAUCUUAUAUUAUUGUCAUAUCAUGUCAUGUUAACUCUGUGUGACCUACACUCUCAGUUCUUCUCUAUUAAGUACACCUUCCUUAUAAUCAGUUGUGUUGAAAUUGUUUUAGAGAAAUGUAGAUUCAAGCUGAUUAGUUGGAGGAUGUAGUCUGUGUUGUGUUACACUGAGAGGUGUUCCUAAUACUCAGUACCCUCAUUGAUAUAAACAGGGUGGACAAAAUAUUAGAAACACCUCUCUGUAUAAUACAAUACAGUUCAACAGCACCACAAAGUUCAGCCUCUAAAAUGAUGAUACAGUUGAAUCAGCACCUCUCUAAACCAGUCACUAACUGUCAUGAAUGUAGGAUUUAUUGCUGGACCAUCGUAUUAGACUGCAGUUUAGUUUUAGGUGGGUCUAAACUAGUGUCUGAGAGGACACUGCCAAAGGCACAGCCGCUAAACCACUAUUCUCCAUGAGUGAAAAUAAGCAUGAUGACAGAAUAGGAGAACAACAGUUACGGUUAUCAAACUGCUGUGUUGUCCUCAGACAACAUUCCCACUGAAGCUGGGCCAAAGCUAGCACACAGCCUCGUGUUGUCCAUUCAGUGAAUGUACAAGCCAUGGUCAACUGGUGCCUCAAGCCACCUCUUCCAACUGCCCUCCCAGCCGCCACUCCUUUUGUGAAGACACAGAAGUCACACAGUGUGAUACCAGUCCAGCUAAUUAAAUGUGAGCCCAGAGAAAGAGUGGAAUUACUGUUAUAACAAUGUAGACAUGGUGCAUGGGGUUAGGGCAAAAGGAGGGAGGCAGUGCAACUGUGUGUGUGUGUGUGUGUGUGUAUUCAUGUUACGAAGAGCUAUGGUGUUAAAAAGAGCAGCUCUCCUGGGUUUGAGAGGAUUCAAUUAUAGAUUAUGGGAGGGUGUGCAAGUGUGUGUGUGUGUGUUGGGAGGGGAGGGGGUAAACACUGAGAUUAAGCGACCAGAGUUGAAUGGGUUAUUAGCGGAUAAAAUGAAGGAGUCGGAUAAUGAAGAUUGGGCUGAGACUUGAGAGAACAGCUCUGUGCCUUUUUGCCAUGUGGAGGAGAGGAUGGGUGUGAAGAGACAAGGAGUGGAGCGGAAGAAAGGAACAAGCGAUAAUGAAAUACAGGAAGAGAAACCAAGGCAGGAGGAACAAGAAAGAAGAAAUGAAGAAAGAAGAGGCAGAAAGCAGAACACUGCAAGAGCAAAACAAUGGCAGGGACAAAGGAAGACAAAGACAAUUAAAGAGAGACAAGAUGGAAGAAAGACAGAGAGGAGGAAGGAAAACACAAAGACAAAUGUGGGUAAAUGAGACUGAUAAUGGGAAGCAGUGGUGCAUGGCCAGGAUGAUUGUUUUUCAGGGCCCUUGCCAAAUAGAACGAAGGACGUGAGCGGUGGUAGGUGAGCGGAGGAGGAUUUUUUCGAUGGCACUGCUUCACUGAUAACACAUCACCUUAAGACGCGGUGAUGGCUGCCGCAAGGAACAUCUGCCUCACAUGGAGAUGUAUUGUCCAUACACACGAGAUGACAAGGGUCCAUUAUAAUGAUGCAGACAAACACCCUUAUACACAUUUCGUGGUGUGAGACAAAUAAUUAUGCCGACAGUUUUCUGGAUGAGUCCUGAAAAGUUAAAGGGAGAAAUUCUGGAGGCUGCUGCAAAUUAAAAAUGAUUUCAGAUGGAUGCAGGAGGGAAACACCUCGGAUGUAGUAGGGAAGAAAUUCAUUUAAAGGGAUCAGACUGCAAAGAUAAGGAUGAACACUCUUGUGAAGUGCCUCAUGUUGUUUUAGAGGGUUUGAAGAAACCCUUUCUAGUGAAGCCUCACAUGAAUACCUAAAAAGGCAAUCACAAUUAUUAGGUCUAUUAUAGAUAGGAAGUGGACAUCUCAAGUCUUUUCCAGUCUUGGGCAGCUGGUGUCGACAUUUGACUGAAAGUCAUAUCACUCAAAUGUCAUAUGAUAAGUAUCACAUUCAACUGAUAUGAGGAACUGUUUUUUUUUCCAACUGAAACCAGGAACAUCAACACUACAUCAUUCAGUUUGCAGUCCUUGUUGGCUGAACUGUCAAUAUGCCUCAUCUCAACUAGAGAUUCUCCCUUUUCCCUGCCCUUUCUGCGCAACGUUCAAUACAACUUACAAAGUCAAGCUGUUUUGAUGGGUGUCUCUUUUUGUUUUGGGAUGGUUGCAUGUGAGAAAUUAUUUCACUACAUGCUCCUUCCUGACUUUUAAGACUAAAAAUACAUGAUGUUAGGGUCUGUUACUCACUUAAACUAGAUGUGGGCUACACAGAUGAAACGAUGCCCCUGAAAUUAGAUUUCAUCUGUUGAAUACUAGCUACAUUGUAGUGUAAUUUAAGCUCUGUUUGUUAUGGGUUUUUCUGUAUAUCCCUGCUUAUGAAACAUUGUACAUGUUUGUGUGCAUACACUUGCUAAGUAUGUUUAUCUCCCAAAUGCGCACUUGUAUGUUUGAGAAUGUAAACUCUCCCAGUGAGUGUCACUAUCAGCUGUUUGGUUUCACUCUGCUGCGCCAGGACACAGACACUGAGCCAGUAGUGCUGUAUCGGGACUCAAACUGUAGACACAACAGCCGUGCUCAGCCAACCACCUGGACACUAAACUGUAGGUCAUUGCCAGAUCAGUGACAGCGAGCGAGUUCAAAAAAGGGCCACAGAGCUGUCCGCGAGCACACUCCAGCCUAGUGACUCAUACUACCUUGAAACCACAUGUAGAGGAGCACCCAUGCACGAUUUGACAAAGUGACAUAAACUGGAAUGGCUGAAUCCUUGGAUGGAUAAAAAGGCCCCUUCCAACCCGGCGGCAACUGUACUGCCAAGCUUGUUAUGCUGUGACAAACAGCAGUGAGGCAUGGCAUGACGAAAUACCUGCAUCACUACUUCUACCUGGAUGAAAGCCUCUGCCGCGCAGCAUGUCUUUACACUGGAGCAUAAAGAAAGAUCAACGCCCUGAAGGUGACAAGUACAUACCCAGAGAUAGUAGGUGAACUGCAGGGCGAAGAUGGCGAUGCCCUCGUUGUCAAAAGAACCUGCAACAGAGCGGGAGAUGUAGCCAGGGACGAUGGCGAUGAAGCAGGCCGCCAGCA